GCUACAUGCAACAGGAUGUUUUUGUUACACAUCAACACUUGCUUAUGGGUAGGAUCGUUGUGAUAUUUAUGUUGUUUGAUCAGUGACAGAUAUACGUUUCCAGUAUAGUGGGUGACCUAAUCUAAUUUCCAAAUGUCCGUGGCAGGGCAGAAAUUGGACCAGGAGAUAUCAUGGACUAGGACACAGGGACAGGCUGUCUCCUUCAGCUGCAAAGAUACUUACCAGUGUACAACGUUUGUCUACUGGUACCAGAAGAAGGAGGGAGAACCUUUUACCUUGAUUCUUGACAUCCAAAAGGAUAACUGCGCUGUCGAUGCAAGUUACAACCAUCCUCAAAAAGAUGACUUCUCAGCAACAAGUAUGAAUAACAACUGUGAUCUAAAAAUCCAGUCUGUUAAAGUCUCCCAUUCUGCCACCUACUACUGUGCCUGCUGGAACCCACAGUGACAACACAUCCAUUCACCCUGUACAAAAACUCUGGUUUUAGUCAAGCUGUGAAUUUAUAAAAAUUAAAAAACAUAAUCAGAGGAACAUUUUUAGAUGUCUCUCCCAGCUGGUGUUUCAUCUCUCAUCUUCAUAAUCGACUAUAUGAUGAAAACCAUACUUCAGUAAAGAUCUGUG
rnacentral:lncRNA from 1 species